GGAGAGGUGGCAGAGUGGUUGAAUGCGGCAGUCUCGAAAACUGCUAUGGCGGCAACGUCAUCGAGGGUUCAAAUCCCUCCCUCUCCG
rnacentral:tRNA from 2 species